AUUCCAGCUCCAAGAGCGUAUAUUAAAGUUGUUGCAGUUAAAAAGCUCGUAGUUGGAUUUCUGGUUUCACAGAACUGGCCUACUUCCUCAAGGUCGUGUGCGCCGUGUUUUGUGUACCAUCCUUCUAGAAAUUGUGUUCCAUCCCUUCACUGGGAUAGAUCCGAGAUCUAGAUCUUUUACUUUGAAGAAAUUAGAGUGUUCAAAGCAGGCUCGCGCUGUGAAUACAUUAGCAUGGAAUAAUAAUUUAGGACUUGGUAUCCUAUUUUGUUGGUUUUCAGGAUCUAAGUAAUGAUUGAUAGGGAUAGUUGGGGGUGCUAGUAUUUUGCGGCCAGAGGUGAAAUUCUGUGAUUCGCGAAAGACUAACUUAUGCGAAAGCAUUCACCAAGGAUGUCUUCAUUA
rnacentral:rRNA from 1 species